GAGCCUGUAAUGGGUUCCAGUAUGAAUGAAGUUAUUGGUUAAUUUAUUUUUUGGUUUUUGUUUUGAACUUUUUAUUAAUAUAAAAAAGUAUUAAUGUAGUAAAACAAAGAUAAGUCUUCGGAAAUUUUUUUAGAGGGUAUAAUGUUGGGUUGUACUUUUAAGGUUUUCUAGGGCAGAAUUUUAUAUAAUUAAUUAUAACUAUUAAUAAGUUAAAAAAUUACUCCGGAGUUAACAGAAAAUCAUACCUAAUCUAGCUCUUAUAGUAAGGUAAGUUUUACAUCGAUGUUGUAUUUAAGUUUAUUAAAAAAGGAGAAAUUUUAAUUUUUAAGACUGUUCUUCUUUUAAUUAAUUUAACGUGAUAUUAGUUUAAUUCAUUGCGAGAUAGAAUUGUUUAUCUUGUUUAUUAUUAAUUUGUAAUUUUAAUAGUACGAAAGGAAAAUCAAAAAAAGUU
rnacentral:rRNA from 1 species